CAACUUUCUCUUAGGGGACAUACUUCUAUCAAAUAAGUUAGUUGUCUAUGAUCUUGAAAAACAAGUGAUUGGCUGGACUGACUACAACUGUUCUGGGAGCAUCAAAGUCCAAGAUGACAAAUCUGGAGCAGUCUAUACUGUCGACGCCCACAGUGUUUCAUCUGCUAACAUAUUGGAAACCGGAGGGUCCCUUUUCCUUUUUCUCAUUACAGCGGCUUUUUAUAUGUUUUGGUCUUUCGGUCAGUGAGUCGUGGAG
rnacentral:misc_RNA from 1 species